rnacentral:rRNA from 1 species
AGGGCACCACCAGGAGUGGAGCCUGCGGCUUAAUUUGACUCAACACGGGGAAACUCACCCGGCCCGGACACCGGAAGGAUUGACAGAUUGAUAGCUCUUUCUUGAUUCGGUGGAUGGUGGUGCAUGGCCGUUCUUAGUUGGUGGAGCGAUCUGUCUGGUUAAUUCCGAUAACGAACGAGACUCUAGCCUAUUAAAUAGACGUCGGGUUCUCUGCACUCGACGGUCUUCUUAGAGGGACAAGGUGCUUUUAGCACCGCGAAACAGAGCAAUAACAGGUCUGUGAUGCCCUUAGAUGUCCGGGGCCGCACGCGCGCUACACUGAAGGAAGCAGCGUGUAACAACCUUGUUCUAACGAACUGGGUAACCCGUUGGAACUUCCUUCAUGAUUGGGAUAGGGGUUUGCAAUUGUGCCCCUUGAAACGAAGAAUUCCCAGUUAACACUAGUCAUCAGCUAGUGUGAUUACGUCCCUUGCCUUUGGACACACGGCCGUCGUUCUACCAAUGAAUGGUUUAGGAGGC